UUUUAUAGCUUGAGGGAAUUUAUCCGGAAUAUACCACAAAAUAUUUUGCCAUGGCUCUCCCUCUUUAUCUAUGAGCCAUUUCAUGAUUUGACAUAUCUGUAUGAA